rnacentral:rRNA from 1 species
UCACACAAGAAACCCAAGUUAACCGUAUACGGCGUAAAGAGUGGAUUAACUACUAUCACAACGAUUAAGGCCAAAACGUACCUAAGCUGUCAUAAGCCUAAGAUACAUCUAAAACCACCCUAAAAACGACCUUAACCUCCCACGAUCAAUUAAACUCCACGAAAGCCAGGGCACAAACUGGGAUUAGAUACCCCACUAUGCUUGGCCCUAAAUCUUAAUGCUUACCGUACUAAAGCAUUCGCCCGAGAACUACGAGCACAAACGCUUAAAACUCUAAGGACUUGGCGGUGCCACAAACCCACCUAGAGGAGCCUGUCCUAUAAUCGACAACCCACGAUACACCCGACCACUUCUUGCCAAAACAGCCUACAUACCGCCGGCGCCAGCCCCCCUCCCUUGAGAGCACARCAGUGAACAAAAUAGCCCUAACCCCGCUAACAAGACAGGUCAAGGUAUAGCCUAUGAAGUGGAAGAGAUGGGCUACAUUUUCUAACAUAGAAAACCCUCACCCCAACUUAACGGAAAGGAGUAUGACACAACUCCUAGAAGGUGGAUUUAACAGUAGAGCGGGAUAACAUAAGCCCCCUUUAAACCGGCUCUGAGGCACGUACAUAGCGCCCGUCACCCUCCUCACAAGCUCCAACAACACAUAAAUAAUACACCCCCCCCSGGAAAAAGAUGAGGUAAAGGUAAAAGUG